CCUCACACUUGAACUCAACGUUGUCCCCAAUGUUUAUGAACAAGCGCGGAGGAGGGAACUCACAGGGUCCUACUAAGGAGGUGGUUGCGGGAAAUGUGUCAUACCCCAAAAAUUACCCAUCAUUUUUCCUAAAAAAAAAAAAAAAAAAAAAAAAAAAAAAAAGAGAAUUUUUUUUUUUAAUUAAUUAAUUAAUUAAUUAAUUAAUUAAAUAAUUAAAAUAAAUAAAUAAAUAAAAUAUAACAAAUUAUUUUGGACUUGGGUCUCCCUCAUUCCAAGCCC
rnacentral:lncRNA from 1 species